GACGAACGCUGGCGGCGUGCUUAACACAUGCAAGUCGAACGGAAAGGCCCUGCUUUUGUGGGGUGCUCGAGUGGCGAACGGGUGAGUAACACGUGAGUAACCUGCCCUUGACUUUGGGAUAACUUCAGGAAACUGGGGCUAAUACCGGAUAGGAGCUCCUGCUGCAUGGUGGGGGUUGGAAAGUUUCGGCGGUUGGGGAUGGACUCGCGGCUUAUCGGCUUGUUGGUGGGGUAGUGGCUUACCAAGGCUUUGACGGGUAGCCGGCCUGAGAGGGUGACCGGCCACCUUGGGACUGAGAUACGGCCCAGAAGCCUACGGGAGGCAACAGGGGGGAAUAUUGCGCAAUGGGCGGAAGCGUGAUGCAGCAACGCCGCGUGCGGGAUGACGGCCUUCGGGUUGUAAACCGCUUUCGCCUGUGACGAAGCGUGAGUGACGGUAAUGGGUAAAGAAGCACCGGCUAACUACGUG
rnacentral:rRNA from 1 species